AGUUGCUAGGGAAAUAACAUCCUUCAGACUCUCUGAUGAACGAUUUGAUCUUGCCCAAAUUGAGAAGCAUUUUCAAAUGUCACUUGAUGGCAAAGAAAAGGAGUUCAAGUACCUUCUCAUCGAGAGAUUAGAUGGAUGGAAAAUUGAUUGCAAGAAACGGGCAACUGGGAAAGUGCUUGAUAUGUAUUAUACACAUGAGAUUUCCAAGAAGUCAUUCCGAUCAGUUAAGGAAGUAAUGAAUUUUAUAUUAUAUGAAGUUGAUCCAAGGAAAAGGUAGGAGGAAAAUAAAUGCAAUCCAAAUGAAUAUCCAUUGGUACAUAGACAAUAUUUCUUUGGCAAUUUUGAAGGAAAACAAAUGAAUGCUAAUGGAAAACCUUCAAACAUCCAUUUUUAUUUUUAUUUUUAUGCUGAUGUAUACUUUCUUGCUACUAGUAAGGAAAUGAAGAACUAGGAAAGAUUUUCCAGCCGAACACAUUUU